GCCCGCCCUCCCGCCCGUCCGAUUGGGCCUCUACGGGGGUGUGUGGGAGGGGCGGGGCGCACGCGGGGGACGCCGCGUAGUGGUACAGUCCACCCCCUGGCUUCCAACCCCCUCCUGGCGGUUCAAGUUUCUACGCCCGGAGGACGCGGCCUGGGCCAAUCCCUGGGCUACAGGGCGCUUUUAAAAGGCAGACAUCCUUUUCCUAAAAUUAGGGAUGAAACCAAGAAACAAGAGGACAUGGAAUUCAGGAAACGGAAUCCCAAGCCUGGCAUUGGACUUCUCAUUAGAGACCCUGGAAGCUAGAAGACCACAGAGCAAGCAAUCAGUUUCCUUAACAGUCUGUGGGAAAAGGAUUUCCCCCCUGGAUUCUAUGCCCACGGAUAGAAUCAGCCAAGUAUGAGACUGGAAUAUAAACACUUUCAGAAAUGCAAGAUCACUAAAUAAAUAAAUAAGUAAACUAAAUACCUGUUGGGCAUCCUCUAGGAAGCUUUGGGAGCACAUGCCCUCCUAGGCAGUGAGAGAAGACCCCUAGGAGGAAGGGCCCCUUACUGGGUGCAGUGAAGGGCAAGCCCUGAGGCCAGCUGGGCUCCAGCCCCCCACCCACCCACCCUCAUCAGAGGCCCCAGAGCAAAGGGCGAAGGGUUUAGCCUGGAAAGGCGCAGGGUGAACGGGGUGAGUUGCAU